CGUCCUUAUAGGAUUUCAGUCGAUUUUAUUCUAAUAGUGGCAUAAGCUUUUUAUUUUAGGUCAUAAGAUUUUUUUUGUUAUUCGUGAAAGAUAAAACGGAGAACGCUCAUGAUUUUGGAAAAUGAUAGAAAAAGAAAGAAUGUGGACGAAGAAGUAAAUUAACAAAAGCAGCAGGAAACACAAUUUAAUAUAAAAAACAUUUCCCCGAAUGCGUCGUUUGAUAAAAACACGCCAGUUCUUGAAAAUCAUGCAUGAAGAACCUUACCGUUUGAAUCUAAUAGAGCCUGUAACUAUUUAUUUAUUUAAGUAUUUAUUUUUAGAAUGCGUUGCCAGAAAUUAUUAGAAGUAUGUAUAAUACUAAUUUAAACUAUUUUUUCAAAAUCGAAGAUCAUUAAUCACCUCUGUAAACAUUUUAGCUGAAGAAUCUAUCUGAGACUGAAUACAAUUAUUAAUCUGUACCACAAGUAACAGUUAGGAGUACCCUGUAAUAGACUGGCAAAGACAAUAGUGACUGCUUAUCGUGCAGUAACACUUAUCAAUGAGCCUAAAAGGGACCCAGAUAGUUAUCUGGUGAGGUAAAUAAAAGUACCACUUUUCGAAGUUUCUCUUUCUUAAACUCGAUCGAUUCUCUAGCUACAAAUGAACCACCACUUCAUUCCUCAGUUAACUUCUUAGCUAUCCAAGAACCUAAACAUAUAUACAUAUAAGCCAUAUGUAUAUAUGUUUAGGUUCUUGGAUCAGAAUCAUCAACAAGAACAUUUCAUCAGAAUCAUCAACAAGAACAUAAGAAUUCAGGAAGUGAUUUUAUUUCCCAGUCUUUAAUAUCAACUGAUACAGAACCACAACCCUCGGUACCCUCGCAGCGGCUGCUCAGGACAGAAUAAAAAUAAAUAUAUAACGUCAUUUUAUGCAUUAUAUAAUAGCGAAAUUUCACAUUGGGUCAAUAAUAAAUAAAUAUCUUAUUACUGGGCACACGCAAAAUGAGGACGAUAAUGUUCACUCCCUCAUUGAAAAAUAAAUAAAAAAAACUUAAAAUCGGGCCCAAUUUGUCCACCUUAUCGAUAUAUAAAUAUUAUAAGCUUAAUUAAGAGCUCUAAAAAUUGGGACACCUCUCAAGGUUCAGCAUUUUUCUUUAGCUAUGAGCUAUGAUACUAUGUUAGAUUUGAAAGCUUUGCAAAACGAGUGGGGCUACAAUUUCAAUGAGGACAAUGAUGACAAGGAGCAGAUUUUGUGGGGUGAUGUAAAAUACGCGUUUUAAGGUUUGUAAAAAAUGAACCUUUUGUAUUUUAUUAUAAGACCAGUUAUACUGAAGACAAAAGACUAGCGCGUCAACAUGAGAAACAAAAGGAAGAAGAUGCCUUGUGUUGAAAGUGUUUCGAGAAAACUGAAGUUAUCGGAAAAUACAAGAAAAGGUCUUAUGGAGUUAAGAAAAACAUUAAUACCUAAUUAUUAUGUAUAUUAUUAUCACAAUCUUAGGAAUAUUAGGUACUAUGAGUUUAUUUUGAUACAAAUUGUUACUGCUGUACAGGUGUAACAUUACCUUCGAUAUAGCCGAAACCCAUGUCAUCUCCCUAUUAAUAUGAACAUUUUCCCCCAAGAAUCCAUACCUGGAGUCAAUAGUUUCCGAGAUAAUGAAGUUGGAUUGAAUUUUUUUUUUUUCGCAAAUUUAUAUAAUUUAUCAUUUAACCGUCAUUUCAUCCAAAUAAACCUCAUAAAAAUAUUAAAGAAUUCCCUAUCUAAACUAACGCUAAAAUGUAAAACGUGCAAUGAACAGUGCCCUUCGCAUUGCCGCAUAGCGCUUUCACUAUAGCGAUACACACACACAAACUAACGGCUCAUAGCUGAUUCGUGCGUGAGCGAUUGAUACGAUGCCGCAAUGUUCACUUAUUUUGAUUAUUUGUUAUUAUUUUUUAUAUUUUUUUUUUUUUUUCCCUGUCAAAUGAUUAUUCUGAAGUGACUUUAACUGGGGUACCCUAUGCAUACCUAACGGCUAUGACGGAGGUAGUGGUAUACCUUGUAUAUGCCAAAUGCAGGCAGGCAGAACUCUGAACAAUACUAUAAAAUAUGUUAUUAUUUCAAUACAAUAAAUAACUUGAACACAAUCUUGGGUUUUAUUAUUAAAUAGUUUUUAUCAAAAUGACUUAUUAGUAAACAACUUAAUCUUAUUUUAAUACAAAAAUGACAUAUUACUCAAAAUGCCACACAUAAAUUUUAAGUUAUUAAAAUGAAACUGACCUAAUUCAUAUUAAGUCAAACUCUUAUAGAAUAAGUUCGGUCAAAGGGUGACCUUAUAGUGACUAGUUUUUGAAAAUCGUUAUUUUAAAAUAUUAUUUAUCAAAAUAAUUUGAAAAAAAGACAAUUAUUAUCAAGCCUAAUAGUUAAUGAAACCAUGUCAAACAUAAAAAGACAAUUAACAUACUUCGUUUCAGAAAUAUACUUUAACUUAUGAAAAAAUUAAUAAACAUGAAAUCUUAUUUUGCGAUUUCCCAAAAAGUUGAGAUUUUGAAUUAAGUCACUUUCGUUCUAAAGCAGCGAUAUAUAUA